AACCGUUUAAAGUUACGGCCGGAAGUGUAGGGAAGGGUAAUAAUAAAUUAAAUAUCUAUUUUUAAAUGAUAAAUUGAUAACUAUUUCCUACUCUUCCGGCGACAACUUUAAAUGGUU